rnacentral:rRNA from 1 species
GACGAACGCUGGCGGCGUGCUUAACACAUGCAAGUCGAACGGAAAGGCCCUGCUUUUGUGGGGUGCUCGAGUGGCGAACGGGUGAGUAACACGUGAGUAACCUGCCCUUGACUUUGGGAUAACUUCAGGAAACUGGGGCUAAUACCGGAUAGGAGCCCCUGCUGCAUGGUGGGGGUUGGAAAGUUUCGGCGGUUGGGGAUGGACUCGCGGCUUAUCAGCUUGUUGGUGGGGUAGUGGCUUACCAAGGCUUUGACGGGUAGCCGGCCUGAGAGGGUGACCGGCGACAUUGGUACUGAGGUACGGCCCAGACUCCUACGGGAGGCAGCAGUGGGGAAUAUUGCACAAUGGGCGGAAGCCUGAUGCAGCGACGCCGCGUGCGGGAUGACGGCCUUCGGGUUGUAAACCGCUUUCGCCUGUGACGAAGCGUGAGUGACGGUAAUGGGUAAAGAAGCACCGGCUAACUACGUG